GACGAACGCUGGCGGCGUGCUUAACACAUGCAAGUCGAACGGAAAGGCCCUGCUUUUGUGGGGUGCUCGAGCGGCGAACGGGUGAGUAACACGUGAGUAACCUGCCCUUGACUUUGGGAUAACUUCAGGAAACUGGGGCUAAUACCGGAUAGGAGCUCCUGCUGCAUGGUGGGGGUUGGAAAGUUUCGGCGGUUGGGGAUGGACUCGCGGCUUAUCAGCUUGUUGGUGGGGUAGUGGCUUACCAAGGCUUUGACGGGUAGCCGGCCUGAGAGGGUGACCGGCCACAUUGGGACUGAGAUACGGCCCAGACUCCUACGGGAGGCAGCAGUGGGGAAUAUUGCACAAUGGGCGGAAGCCUGAUGCAGCAACGCCGCGUGCGGGAUGACGGCCUUCGGGUUGUAAACCGCUUUCGCCUGUGACGAAGCGUGAGUGACGGUAAUGGGUAAAGAAGCACCGGCUAACUACGUGCCAGCAGCCGCGGUGAUACGUAGGGUGCGAGCGUUGUCCGGAUUUAUUGGGCGUAAAGGGCUCGUAGGUGGUUGAUCGCGUCGGAAGUGUAAUCUUGGGGCUUAACCCUGAGCGUGCUUUCGAUACGGGUUGACUUGAGGAAGGUAGGGGAGAAUGGAAUUCCUGGUGGAGCGGUGGAAUGCGCAGAUAUCAGGAGGAACACCAGUGGCGAAGGCGGUUCUCUGGGCCUUUCCUGACGCUGAGGAGCGAAAGCGUGGGGAGCGAACAGGCUUAGAUACCCUGGUAGUCCACGCUGUAAACGGUGGGUACUAGGUGUGGGGUCCAUUCCACGGGUUCCGUGCCGUAGCUAACGCUUUAAGUACCCCGCCUGGGGAGUACGGCCGCAAGGCUAAAACUCAAAGGAAUUGACGGGGCCCCGCACAAGCGGCGGAGCAUGCGGAUUAAUUCGAUGCAACGCGUAGAACCUUACCUGGGUUUGACAUGGAUCGGGAGUGCUCAGAGAUGGGUGUGCCUCUUUUGGGGUCGGUUCACAGGUGGUGCAUGCCUGUCGUCAGCUCGUGUCGUGAGAUGUUGGGUUAAGUCCCGCAACGAGCGCAACCCUUGUUCACUGUUGCCAGCACGUUAUGGUGGGGACUCAGUGGAGACCGCCGGGGUCAACUCGGAGGAAGGUGGGGAUGACGUCAAGUCAUCAUGCCCCUUAUGUCCAGGGCUUCACGCAUGCUACAAUGGCUGGUACAGAGAGUGGCGAGCCUGUGAGGGUGAGCGAAUCUCGGAAAGCCGGUCUCAGUUCGGAUUGGGGUCUGCAACUUGACCUCAUGAAGUCGGAGUCGCUAGUAAUCGCAGAUCAGCAACGCUGCGGUGAAUACGUUCCCGGGGCU
rnacentral:rRNA from 1 species